rnacentral:rRNA from 1 species
CAGUUCGUACCGAAUGGGGUAAUCCAGCCCUUUUUGGGUGGCGGAUUAUGGCGGGUACGUGAAAAGAUUUCACGGUUGCAUAUUCGUGCCCUUUUGGGGUGUACUUGCUCGUAUGGGUAGGUUAACAUCAAUUUCGGUCGUCAUAAAAAUGGCGGGGAGGAAUGUAGCUUUGAUCUCGUAUUAAAGUGUUAUAGCCUCUGUUAGAUGUGAUGAUCGGGGUUGAGGAUUGCAACGAACCCUCUGGGCCACUCGUCUGGCCUCUGGUGGUCGCCCUGGUGCCGAAAGCUUGCUUACGGUCGUCAGAGUUUGGCUGCCAAAAGGUUAGAACGGGAUGAU